GAGUUUGAUCCUGGCUCAGAACGAACGCUGGCGGCGUGCUUAACACAUGCAAGUCCAACGUGAAAGGGGAGCAAUCCCCCGGUAAGGUGGCGAACGGGUGAGUAAGACAUGGGAAUCUGCCCUGGAGAUGGGGAUAUCCCUCCGAAAGGGGGGCUAAUACCGAAUACCGUCCGGGAAACGAGAGGAUUUCGGGGAAAGGGAGGCCUCUGGCAACAUGCUUCCGCUCCGGGAGGAGCCCAUGGCCCAUCAGCUAGUUGGGAGGGUAACGGCCAACCAAGGCGAAGACGGGUAGCUGGUCUGAGAGGACGAUCAGCCACACUGGCACUGAGACACGGGCCAGACUCCUACGGGAGGCAGCAGUGAGGAAUUUUGCACAAUGGGGGCAACCCUGAUGCAGCAACGCCGCGUGUGGGAAGAAGGCUUUCGGGUUGUAAACCACUUUUGCGAGGGACGAAACCCCGGGGUUGAUACACCGUGGGGGUGACGGUACCUCGCGAAUAAGCCACGGCUAACUCUGUGCCAGCAGCCGCGGUAAGACAGGGGUGGCAAGCGUUCUUCGGAGUGACUGGGCGUAAAGGGUCUGU
rnacentral:rRNA from 1 species